GCUGCGGACGAGAGAGCCCGUCACUCGGCUGCUGGGCGGCAGAGGAGAAACCCCGCUCGACCGCCGGCCGGGACACGGGGGACCGGACGUGCCGAGAACCAACGCGAGGCGUGAGGCAGAGUCUCUGCGGGCAUCGCCCUCCGCUCGGCACGGGUGACGGGAAUGCGGUUGGACUGAGCUGGUUUCUCAGCAGCCAUGGUGAAAAGGAACAGCGUAAAGCCAGGACCUCACGAGAACGGCAGGGCUGCCCUCGCUGGGCAGCACACCGGCCCCUCCUCACCUUCGGGUUGUGCAGGAUGAUGAUCUCCCUGCUGGGGGACUCCAGUUUCUUCUUCCACUCAUCCAGGGUCACAGCGACCAUGUACGCUUCCUGAGGACGAGAACACGCUCCGUGAGUCAGCCGUGAACGUUCAGCCACCCGGGACACUCCCACCCAUUUCAUGGAACCAAGGCCUGGGAUUAACCGUGGGAGGACCAGAAAGGCAGAGAGCCGUGCGCCACACCAGAGCCGAGGGAUGACACGAGAUACGAGCAUCUUCUGCGGGCAGCACAUUGGAGCAUGUGGACACCAAUGCUCUCCAUACCCGAGCACAGAGAACGGCGUCGCAGGCGUCCCAGGAUCGAUGCCCCAAGUCAAACUUCCCCAGAGGCAGAAGCUCCAGGAGCGGGGGCAUCGCUAAGAGGAGUCAGUUUAACAUUCCCAAAGGAAAAUCCUGCAUCCCAGGCGGCAGCCGCGGACGUGCCCGGCGAAUUUCCUCGGACGCGCAGCCAGUGCUGCCCCGAGCGCACACCUGAUGCUCCCCCCUCGCCCCACCAGGCCGGUCCCUCGCAGCGAUUUUAAGAGCAGAGAAGAGGUAUUUAGAACCAAAGGGCAGUUUAAAAAUAGCAGCGGCAGGAGCCGCAGGGCGGCGGUGCCGGAGGGGGUGCCCGGGGUCUCUCCGCGGCUCCGGGGGGGUUUCUCCCUACCUG